GCCCGGUUGGCUCAGUCGGUAGAGCGUGUGACUCUUAACAUACCCUGCCUGGCGGGGUAUGAGGGGGAUCUCAAGGUCGCGAGUUCGAGCCUCGCAUCGGGCU